GCACUGAUGAAGAGUCUCAAACUAGGACGAAACAGACGUCCAGUGC
rfam:Trichobilharzia regenti genome assembly, scaffold: TRE_scaffold0001176